rnacentral:rRNA from 1 species
CGCAUGCUACCAUGCAAGUCGAACGAUGACGACCGGGCUUGCCUGGUCUGAUUAGUGGCGAACGGGUGAGUAACACGUGAGUAACCUGCCCCUCACUUCGGGAUAACCUCGGGAAAUCGUGGCUAAUACCGGAUAUGAACUUCUACCGCAUGGUGGUUGUUGGAAAGUUUUUCGGUGAGGGAUGGACUCGCGGCCUAUCAGUUUGUUGGUGAGGUAAUGGCUCACCAAGACGAUGACGGGUAGCCGGCCUGAGAGGGCGACCGGCCACACUGGGACUGAGACACGGCCCAGACUCCUACGGGAGGCAGCAGUGGGGAAUAUUGCACAAUGGGCGAAAGCCUGAUGCAGCGACGCAGCGUGAGGGAUGACUGCCUUCGGGUUGUAAACCUCUUUCAGUAGGGAAGAAGCGAAAGUGACGGUACCUGCAGAAGAAGCGCCGGCUAACUACGUGCCAGCAGCCGCGGUAAUACGUAGGGCGCAAGCGUUAUCCGGAAUUAUUGGGCGUAAAGAGCUUGUAGGUGGCUUGUCGCGUCUGCCGUGAAAACCCGAGGCUCAACCUCGGGCGUGCGGUGGGUACGGGCAGGCUAGAGUGUGGUAGGGGAGACUGGAACUCCUGGUGUAGCGGUGAAAUGCGCAGAUAUCAGGAAGAACACCGAUGGCGAAGGCAGGUCUCUGGGCCAUUACUGACACUGAGAAGCGAAAGCAUGGGUAGCGAACAGGAUUAGAUACCCUGGUAGUCCAUGCCGUAAACGUUGGGCACUAGAUGUGGGGGACAUUCCACGUUUUCCGCGUCGUAGCUAACGCAUUAAGUGCCCCGCCUGGGGAGUACGGCCGCAAGGCUAAAACUCAAAGGAAUUGACGGGG